CUUUAUCCUACUCAGCAUUUACUUUCAAGGAGCUCGGUGUUUCAAGCAAUUAAGACAACUUCUCAAAGUAAAUGGGAAAUACCCCAAGCUGCUGGGGUCCGUGCAGAUAUCUGUCAUGCUAAUAUACUGCCUUUGAGGUCAAGCAUGCCUCAUCUUAAAGAGGUCUGCCCGCCUGUGCCAACUACCAGCCUUAUCCCAAUAUCAAAAUUGACUGCAUUUGAGCAAAGAAAUGAGGCAGAGAGACUCCAAGGACACCAAACUAGACGGCGGCAGCUUCUUGAAAGGGAUGAUUUGCCAAAUCACCAACAAAUCUCAAAGAGAGAAAGAUGUAAAAAGAAGCAACAUGAACAGUCACAGAAGAAAGAAAC